GGGGCUGUAGCUCAAUUGGCAGAGCAACGGGCUUUUAACCCGGAGGUCGUGGGUUCGAUUCCCACCGGCCCCACCA
rnacentral:tRNA from 1 species